AGUGAAUAUAGGACGUCCAACUUAACUUGGAGUCCGAACUCUCACUUUCUAACCCUGUGCACUUGUUUGGGAUAGUAACUCUCGCAAGAGAGCGAACUCCUAUUCACUUAUAAACACAAAGUCUAUGAAUGUAUUAAAUUUUAUAACAAAAUAAAACUUUCAACAACGGAUCUCUUGGCUCUCGCAUCGAUGAAGAACGCAGCGAAAUGCGAUAAGUAAUGUGAAUUGCAGAAUUCAGUGAAUCAUCGAAUCUUUGAACGCACCUUGCGCUCCAUGGUAUUCCGUGGAGCAUGCCUGUUUGAGUGUCAUGAAUACUUCAACCCUCCUCUUUCUUAAUGAUUGAAGAGGUGUUUGGUUUCUGAGCGCUGCUGGCCUUUACGGUCUAGCUCGUUCGUAAUGCAUUAGCAUCCGCAAUCGAACUUCGGAUUGACUUGGCGUAAUAGACUAUUCGCUGAGGAAUUCUAGUCUUCGGAUUAGAGCCGGGUUGGGUUAAAGGAAGCUUCUAAUCAGAAUGUCUACAUUUUAAGAUUAGAUCUCAAAUCAGGUAGGACUACCCGCUGAACUUAAGCAUAUCAAUAAGCGGAGGAAAAGAAACUAACAAGGAUUCCCCUAGUAGCGGCGAGCGAAGCGGGAAGAGCUCAAAUUUAUAAUCUGGCACCUUCGGUGUCCGAGUUGUAAUCUCUAGAAAUGUUUUCCGCGUUGGACCGCACACAAGUCUGUUGGAAUACAGCGGCAUAGUGGUGAGACCCCCGUAUAUGGUGCGGACGCCCAGCGCUUUGUGAUACAUUUUCGAAGAGUCGAGUUGUUUGGGAAUGCAGCUCAAAUUGGGUGGUAAAUUCCAUCUAAAGCUAAAUAUUGGCGAGAGACCGAUAGCGAACAAGUACCGUGAGGGAAAGAUGAAAAGCACUUUGGAAAGAGAGUUAACAGUACGUGAAAUUGUUGGAAGGGAAACGCUUGAAGUCAGACUUGCUUGCCGAGCAAUCGGUUUGCAGGCCAGCAUCAGUUUUCCGGGAUGGAUAAUGGUAGAGAGAAGGUAGCAGUUUCGGCUGUGUUAUAGCUCUCUGCUGGAUACAUCUUGGGGGACUGAGGAACGCAGUGUGCCUUUGGCGGGGGUUUCGACCUCUUCACACUUAG
rnacentral:rRNA from 1 species